UACAGAGGUCUCAAGCGUUUGUUCGGAUUCAUUGGGCGUAAAGGGUGCGUAGGCGGCCGUGCAAGUCUGGCGUGAAAGCCCCGGGCUCAGCCCGGGAAGUGCGCUCGAAACUGCGCGGCUCGAGUGCCGGAGGGGAGAGUGGAAUUCCUGGUGUAGCGGUGAAAUGCGUAGAUAUCAGGAGGAAUACCGGUGGCGAAAGCGACUCUCUGGACGGCAACUGACGCUGAGGCACGAAAGCGUGGGGAGCAAACAGG
rnacentral:rRNA from 1 species